rnacentral:rRNA from 1 species
AGUUUGAUCCUGGCUCAGGAUGAACGCUAGCGGCAGGCUUAACACAUGCAAGUCGAGGGGUAACAAGUCUAGCUUGCUAGAUGUUGACGACCGGCGCACGGGUGCGUAACGCGUAUAGAACCUACCUUUUACAGGAGAAUAGCCCAGAGAAAUUUGGAUUAAUGCUCCAUAGUAUUGUUGAAUGGCAUCAUUUAAUAAUUAAACAUUUAUGGGUAAGAGAUGGCUAUGCGUUCUAUUAGUUAGUUGGUAAGGUAACGGCUUACCAAGACAUCGAUAGAUAGGGGUCCUGAGAGGGAGAUCCCCCACACUGGUACUGAGACACGGACCAGACUCCUACGGGAGGCAGCAGUGAGGAAUAUUGGACAAUGGAGGCAACUCUGAUCCAGCCAUGCCGCGUGUAGGAAGACUGCCCUAUGGGUUGUAAACUACUUUUAUAUAGGAAGAAACCCCACUACGUGUAGUGGAUUGACGGUACUAUAAGAAUAAGGAUCGGCUAACUCCGUGCCAGCAGCCGCGGUAAUACGGAGGAUCCAAGCGUUAUCCGGAAUCAUUGGGUUUAAAGGGUCCGUAGGCGGAUUUAUAAGUCAGUGGUGAAAGUUUGCGGCUCAACCGUAAAAUUGCCAUUGAUACUGUAAGUCUUGAAUUACUAUGAAGUGGUUAGAAUAAGUAGUGUAGCGGUGAAAUGCAUAGAUAUUACUUAGAAUACCGAUUGCGAAGGCAGAUCACUAAUAGUAUAUUGACGCUGAGGGACGAAAGCGUGGGUAGCGAACAGGAUUAGAUACCCUGGUAGUCCACGCCGUAAACGAUGGUUACUAGUUGUUUGAACUUCGGUUUGAGUGACUAAGCGAAAGUGAUAAGUAACCCACCUGGGGAGUACGUUCGCAAGAAUGAAACUCAAAGGAAUUGACGGGGGCCCGCACAAGCGGUGGAGCAUGUGGUUUAAUUCGAUGAUACGCGAGGAACCUUACCAGGGCUUAAAUGUAGAUUGACAGGUUUAGAGAUAGACUUUCCUUCGGGCAAUUUACAAGGUGCUGCAUGGUUGUCGUCAGCUCGUG